UACAGAGGGUGCAACGUUGCUCGGAAUUACUGGGCGUAAAGCGCGUGUAGGCGGUUCCGCAAGUCAGGUGUGAAAGCCCAGGGCUCAACCCUGGAAGUGCACUUGAUACUACGGAGCUUGAGUGCUGAAGAGGAGAGCGGAAUUCCCGGUGUAGAGGUGAAAUUCGUAGAUAUCGGGAGGAACACCAGUGGCGAAGGCGGCUCUCGUGGGCAG
rnacentral:rRNA from 1 species